rnacentral:lncRNA from 1 species
AACGUGUCUUCUGAUUGGCUGACGUUAUUUUGUUAUUAGCCUGGCAUCCGUCCCAAUCUAGCUACGCGUCGUAUACUGACAAGAUUAGCCAGGACCCCAGACUAUUUUGUUAUCAGCCCAUAGACAUAAUUUAGUCAUGUGACCGUGACGUCAUCAACGUUUUUCGUGAUUUUCUACAGUUUAAAAUGGAUUUUAGAAUUAAAUUAUAAGAAAUGACUGUAAUAUUUUUUCUGUCUAUUCGAAAUAACAUAAAAAAUGUGGUGCACACUGUUAAAAACCCGCUACUCGCGUUAUUCAGUGUGCACCACAUUUUUUAUGUUAUUUCUUCAUAGACAGAAAAAAUAUUACAGUCAUUCCUUAAAUAUACAAACAAACAUGUUAUC